rnacentral:misc_RNA from 1 species
GCAAACUUGGUCAUUUAGAGGAAGUAAAAGUCGUAACAAGGUUUCCGUAGGUGAACCUGCGGAAGGAUCAUUAUCGUAGGGCCUCUGGCCCUGUCGAGAUAGCGUCCUUGCCUAUUUUUUGGAGCACCCUCCGUUUCCUCAGCAGGUCCGCCUGCUACCGGGGACACACGAAACUCUUUGCAAUCAGCAACCGUCUGAAGCAACUACAAAAAAUCAAAACUUUCAACAAUGGAUCUCUUGGUUCUGGCAUCGAUGAAGAACGCAGC